UACGUAGGGUGCAAGCGUUAUCCGGAAUCACUGGGCGUAAAGCGUGCGUAGGUGGCGCGUUAAGUGAGAUGUUAAAUCGUGUGGCUCAACCGUAUCGAUGCAUCUCAUACUGGCGUGCUAGAGGACGGCAGAGGCAAGUGGAAUUGGUAGUGUAGCAGUGAAAUGCGUAGAUAUUACCAGGAACACCAAUGGCGAAGGCAGCUUGCUGGGCCACUCCUGACACUGAGGUACGAAAGCGUGGGGAGCGAACAGG
rnacentral:rRNA from 1 species